UGGCGGCGUGCUAAUACAUGCAAGUCGAGCGAACAGACGAGGAGCUUGCUCCUCUGACGUUAGCGGCGGACGGGUGAGUAACACGUGGAUAACCUACCUAUAAGACUGGGAUAACUUCGGGAAACCGGAGCUAAUACCGGAUAAUAUAUUGAACCGCAUGGUUCAAUAGUGAAAGACGGUUUUGCUGUCACUUAUAGAUGGAUCCGCGCCGCAUUAGCUAGUUGGUAAGGUAACGGCUUACCAAGGCGACGAUGCGUAGCCGACCUGAGAGGGUGAUCGGCCACACUGGAACUGAGACACGGUCCAGACUCCUACGGGAGGCAGCAGUAGGGAAUCUUCCGCAAUGGGCGAAAGCCUGACGGGGCAACGCCGCGUGAGUGAUGAAGGUCUUCGGAUCGUAAAACUCUGUUAUUAGGGAAGAACAAAUGUGUAAGUAACUAUGCACGUCUUGACGGUACCUAAUCAGAAAGCCACGGCUAACUACGUGCCAGCAGCCGCGGUAAUACGUAGGUGGCAAGCGUUAUCCGGAAUUAUUGGGCGUAAAGCGCGCGUAGGCGGUUUUUUAAGUCUGAUGUGAAAGCCCACGGCUCAACCGUGGAGGGUCAUUGGAAACUGGAAAACUUGAGUGCAGAAGAGGAAAGUGGAAUUCCAUGUGUAGCGGUGAAAUGCGCAGAGAUAUGGAGGAACACCAGUGGCGAAGGCGACUUUCUGGUUUGUAACUGACGCUGAUGUGCGAAAGCGUGGGGAUCAAACAGGAUUAGAUAACCUGGUAGUCCACGCCGUAAACGAUGAGUGCUAAGUGUUAGGGGGUUUCCGCCCCUUAGUGCUGCAGCUAACGCAUUAAGCACU
rnacentral:rRNA from 1 species